rnacentral:rRNA from 1 species
GAUCCUGGCUCAGGAUGAACGCUAGCGGCAGGCCUAAUACAUGCAAGUCGUACGGUAAAUGCCCCUUCGGGGGCAUGAGAGUGGCGGACGGGUGCGUAACGCGUAUGCAACCAACCCCCGACAGGCGGACAGCCGGUGGAAACGCCGGAUAAUACGCCAUGCGACCAUCCAGGGGCAUCCCGGGAUGGCCAAAGCCUCGGCGGUCGGGGACGGGCAUGCGUGCCACUAGCUGGUAGGCGGGGUGAGGGCCCACCUAGGCUACGAUGGCUAGGGGAUCUGAGAGGACGGUCCCCCACACUGGUACUGAGACACGGACCAGACUCCUGCGGGAGGCAGCAGUAAGGGAUAUUGGGCAAUGGGGGUAACCCUGACCCAGCCAUGCCGCGUGAGGGAAUGAGGCCCUACGGGUCGUGAACCUCUUUUAUUCGGGGACAAGGACGCGGUCGCGAACCGUGUUUGAGGGUACCGAAGGAAUAAGCGUCGGCUAACUCCGUGCCAGCCGCAGC